rnacentral:misc_RNA from 1 species
GCAGAACCGUCUUCAAGAACUCCCUUUCUCUUGGAUCUUCUGAAUCAAAGAGAUCUAAUAACCUUAGAACAAAAGAAUGGUCAACAUAUCGCUUAGACAAUUUUGCAUCUGUCUCCGGUGAUGCCACAAAUCUGAGAAAGAACUCAUACACAAUUUGCAAAUGUGGCCAUGCGGGAUCCAUCAAGGGUUCGUCAUCUUCCAAGUCAAAAGCUUCCAAUACUUUGUUUUCACGAGGUUGAGGAGUUAGAGACCUGAACAGAUUUGAAGACACCAUUUUAACAAUUUCUUGAAUGACAGUUUCUGUGAAUUUUCCAUUUGCAGAACUAAGAUAAUCAACAAGCUCUAUUAAUGUCUGCCGCUUGAUGUCUUUUUCUUUCAAGUACUUUGUUGGGUCAGUAAAGUCAAAUAAUACACAGCACAAGUUCAGUUUUUUUAUGAACAAGUUUUGUUUCUCAGCAGUUGGUACAUCUUUAAAACUAGGCAAGGUCUCACACAGAAAAACUGCUGCACUUCCAUUCACCUUAGCAUUUGCCCCCUGCGGUAGCCUAUUUCCAUGAUUUGGUCCCAGAGUUGAAGAAGUGACUCCUGAAACAGUAGUGGCACUUGAAUUUCCUGACUGCGCAGUAGACAAAUCACUGCUUCUAGAACCAGUUGAAGCAUUGGACGGUGAUGCAGAGCUUCCUCCAUCGCGAUUUUCUGCUGACUUGGAAGGCUUUCUAGGGAGCCUAUUAAGUAUCUGUUUGAUCAUCACUUGAAAAUAUGAUCUUCUGGUCGUAAUGUUUUACUGAUUUAAACACCCUCAAAACAGAACUUUCAUCAAUCUGAAAGGUCUAAGCAGCAAAAUGAAUUGUUAGCAAGCCAGUGCAGAUCUCAUCCACCCCGAAUCCUU